rnacentral:lncRNA from 1 species
CAAUAGCAGCACCAAUUGAGCCAGUUCCAUCAAUAAUAGCAGUCACAGUUGCAAGUGCUCGUGAAUUGCCCUUCAAAGACCUAUGUGUUCCCAGGUCAGCUGAAACGGCAGUUGUUAUUAACGCAUAAGGGCCAUUCACAAAUACUCCAGUGAUCAACAUGAGAAUGAUGUUUAUAGUCAUGGAAAUGUAAAGAUCUAUUUGUUCCCAGGUCAGCUGAAACGGCAGUUGUUAUUAACGCAUAAGGGCCAUUCACAAACACUCCAGUAAUCAACAUGAGAAUGAUGUUUAUAGUCGUGGAAAUGUGUCCGUAGUUUCGAUAUAGAUAUAUUGCUGGGAUAGCACAGUACAUGAAGCUAGCAGCUGUUAUAGCUCUAGCAUCCAACUGAUCAGAG